rnacentral:rRNA from 1 species
UUAAGCAUAUCAAUAAGCGGAGGAAGAGAAACUAACAAGGAUUCCCCCAGUAACGGCGAGCGAAGUGGGAAUAGCUCGAGCCUGUAAUCUCCGGCAGCUUCUGCCGGCGAAUUGUGGCCGGGAGAAGGUGGACUUGUCGCAUGUUGCGGUGCCAAAGUUGACCUGGAAGGGCACGUCGAAGAGGGUGAGAGCCCCGUACGUGGCCUCSCGAGGUGCGGCAGUGUCUGUCUUCUGAGAGUCGGGUUGUUUGGGAAUGCAGCCCAAAGAUGGUGGUAAACUCCACUUAAGGCUAAAUACUGGCACGAGACCGAUAGCAAACAAGUACCGUGAGGGAAAGGUGAAAAGCACUUUGAAAAGAGAGUCAAAGAGACCGCGAACCCGUUAGGAGGGAAACGAAUGCAGCCAUGAAGGCUCCGUUCAGGUUCAGGGCGUCUUGGUCGCGUGCGUUGGAAGUGGCGKACCCUUUUUGGGCCGUGCAAACUCSCGUGCUGCAAAGAUUCCUGCAAUCCCGUUCGGAGCCCGCCAACGGUGGCCAAUCCUGGGCGACGAGGGUCGUAGGGUAGGUGUCCUCCCAGGGCCCACUCGUGGGUUCGGAGAGGGACUUAUAGCCUUCGGCCCGGGGUACCGGGAGCGGCGGAGGAGAGUCUCGACGUUUCGCGCGCUGCAGCGUAGGCUCGGUAUAGGGUCCGGGUCGCUUCUAUUCUUGCGUGCUUCGCGUCGAGGCACUGCUUUGCAGUGUCCGGCGACGGUAAGUGCGCUCGUUCGGAAGGCGGGCCACGAUCUGCGCUGCGGUCGUUGGUGUGUGUAUGGCUCUAUCCGACCCGUCUU